CAUUAGCCACGGUAAUACGUAGGUGGCAAGCGUUGUCCGGAAUUAUUGGGCGUAAAGGGCUCGCAGGCGGUUUCUUAAGUCUGAUGUGAAAGCCCCCGGCUCAACCGGGGAGGGUCAUUGGAAACUGGGAAACUUGAGUGCAGAAGAGGAGAGUGGAAUUCCACGUGUAGCGGUGAAAUGCGUAGAGAUGUGGAGGAACACCAGUGGCGAAGGCGACUCUCUGGUCUGUAACUGACGCUGAGGAGCGAAAGCGUGGGGAGCGAACAGGAUUAGAUACCCCUGUAGUCCCUGUCUCUUAUAU
rnacentral:rRNA from 1 species